GUGGGGAAUUUUGGACAAUGCGCGCAAGCCUGAUCCAGCAAUGCCGCGUGCAGGAAGAAGGCCUUCGGGUUGUAAACUGCUUUUGUACGGAACGAAAAGGCUCUGGUUAAUACCUGGGGCUCAUGACGGUACCGUAAGAAUAAGCACCGGCUAACUACGUGCCAGCAGCCGCGGUAAUACGUAGGGUGCAAGCGUUAAUCGGAAUUACUGGGCGUAAAGCGUGCGCAGGCGGUUUUGUAAGACAGACGUGAAAUCCCCGGGCUCAACCUGGGAAUGGCGUUUGUGACUGCAAAGCUGGAGUGCGGCAGAGGGGGAUGGAAUUCCGCGUGUAGCAGUGAAAUGCGUAGAUAUGCGGAGGAACACCGAUGGCGAAGGCAAUCCCCUGGGCCUGCACUGACGCUCAUGCACGAAAGCGUGGGGAGCAAACAGGAUUAGAUACCCCAGUAGUCC
rnacentral:rRNA from 1 species